rnacentral:misc_RNA from 1 species
GUUGAAGAACGCAGUGAAAUGCGAUAAGUAAUGUGAAUUGCAGAAUUCAGUGAAUCAUCGAAUCUUUGAACGCACAUUGCGCCCGCUAGUAUUCUGGCGGGCAUGCCUGUCCGAGCGUCACUUCAACCCUCAAGCCCCCGGGCUUGGUGUUGGGGAUCGGCGAGCCUCCGCGCCCGCCGUCCCCUAAAUCUAGUGGCGGUCUCGCUGUAGCUUCCUCUGCGUAGUAGCACACCUCGCACUGGGAAACAGCGCGGCCACGCCGUUAAACCCCCAACUUCUGAACGUUUGACCUCGGAUCAGGUAGGAAUACCCGCUGAACUUAAGCAUAUCAAUAAGCGGAGGA